rnacentral:sRNA from 1 species
GAAGAAGCUCCUUUCGUCGUAUUCAUACGUUGAGGUAGAUGGCUCUUGCAUGACGCCAUGGCACUCGGUUCACACGCCGUGAUCCAGCGGGCUUGCGGGGCGAGGCCAUGGACACGAAGGUCGCAGUUUCCGAUGACAGAUAAGGGAAAAAACCUCGGGAGGAACAGCUUGAUUUUUAAAAAGAUUCUCGGGUGUUUUGGCAAUGAUUGU